CUAAGGUGGGUGCUGGGGAUUCAAAGACGGGCGAGAUGUGAGGUGUAAAGCCUGAUGUGUCUGCUUGAGAAACACCUAGCUGCUGACACAGACAAACGAACGGAAGAAUGUUAUACAGGAUGACCAUGGCCAUUCUAGAAAUAAAAUCUCAUGAAAUUAACAUAACCUUAUCUCCUGGACACGUAAGCAAAUUUGAUUUAAAUCUUGCCUGCGUUUGCCAGUUGUACAGUCUGGAUAACCCGGUUACCACUAUUUUCAAGAGAAAAUGGUAAAGUAAAAAGUUUCGGUUUGAAUAAAGAAGAGUAGAGAGCUCCCAGCCUCUGAGGACGUCAGCAUCUCCAUUAGACCAACACCCCCUUUUUAUUUUCUACCUUCUCACCAAUGACCCUGCAUUGCACAUGUCGUCUUUUCUACUGGACUGUGAGCCAUCUGAGGACCAGGACUAC